rnacentral:lncRNA from 13 species
CUGACAGUACUCAGCACCUCUGAACAGUGUCGGCAGUCUAUCUCUUUUGUGUUCACACAGCAAAUACCUUGGAAGUCGUCAGCCACUCAGCCUUGUUAAAAUACUCCAAACCAGAAGGUGUCAGUAGCGUUGUUUGGCAAUGCAUAUCCUUUGACAACACUUUGAGGAAUGAGGAAGAGGAGGAGGAAGACAGGGUGAAAGAACUAGAUUGAUACGUAACGCUCUGUUUUUUAAAUAGAUAGAAAUCUAUCACUCUUCCUCCUUCUCCUCCUUCUCCUGUUCUGAUUGGGAGUGUGUCC